UUGAACAAGCCAUUCCCCUGAUCCCUUCCUUCUACUGUUCUACACUCUUCCAAAACACAAACUCUCUUCCUUCCUAAAACAACAACCUUUGAUCUCCGAACCACAACAACCUCUGAUCUCCGAACCACAACAACCUUUGAUCUCCGAACCACAACAACCUCAAACCCUUCAACAAUGAUGCUCAGAAUCCGAAGCCGCGACGGUCUCGAACGAAUCACAAUCGACAACCCAAACAUCACUAUCUCCCAACUCCAAACCAUAAUCCAAACCCAACUCCAUAUCCCAAUCCAAAACCAAACCCUCUCCACGAACCAAAAC
rnacentral:lncRNA from 1 species